UCUCCAUUUUUCAUUCUCUCCCCGUUGUAUCCUCUCAACACAGCCUCUGUUCCAUUAAAAGUAUCGUUUUUGACUUUUUGUUCUUCUUAUUUGACCAUUCGUCUUAUUCAAAAUUUGUUAUAAAUAUUAUUUAUUUGGUUAUGACUUGUUUAGCCAAUAAAAAUAUUUUAACCAUGUUUUAUUUCUUUUACUAUUUGCAUAAAAAUUGCAUAAGACGAACGGUCAAACAAUAAAAUCUAAAAAUAAAAAAUGACACUUUUAAUGGCACAGAGGGAAUAGAUAUUAAUAAAAACUAAUAAUAACUCAAACGUCCCAACAUGUAAGAGGUAUUUUUCUAAUACCAAUUUUAAAAAUAAAAAAAAUUAUGAGAGUUUCAUAUACAUUAAAUAAGCUGGCAUAACAUAAGAAUGAAGUGAGAGAUGAUAAAAAUUUU
rnacentral:lncRNA from 1 species